rnacentral:rRNA from 1 species
CACGUAGGGUGCGAGCGUUGUCCGGAAUUAUUGGGCGUAAAGAGCUCGUAGGCGGUGUGUCGCGUCGGCCGUGAAAACCUGCAGCUUAACUGUGGGCUUGCGGUCGAUACGGGCAUCACUGGAGUUCGGCAGGGGAGACUGGAAUUCCGGGUGGAGUGGUGAAAUGCGUAGAGAUCCGGAGGAACACCAGAGGCGAAGGCGGCCUACUGGGCUGCACCUGACGCUGAGACGCGAAAGCCAGGGGAGCGAACGGG